GUGGGGAAUGUUGGACAAUGGGCGAAAGCCUGAUCCAGCCAUGCCGCGUGUGUGAAGAAGGUCUUCGGAUUGUAAAGCACUUUAAGUUGGGAGGAAGGGCAGUAAGUUAAUACCUUGCUGUUUUGACGUUACCGACAGAAUAAGCACCGGCUAACUUCGUGCCAGCAGCCGCGGUAAUACGAAGGGUGCAAGCGUUAAUCGGCAUUACUGGGCGUAAAGCGCGCGUAGGUGGUUUUGUAAGUUGGAGGUGAAAUCCCCGGGCUCAACCUGGGAACUGCCUCCAAAACUGCAUGACUAGAGUACGGUAGAGGGUAGUGGAAUUUCCUGUGUAGCGGUGAAAUGCGUAGAUAUAGGAAGGAACACCAGUGGCGAAGGCGACUACCUGGACUGAUACUGACACUGAGGUGCGAAAGCGUGGGGAGCAAACAGGAUUAGAAACCCCGGUAGUCC
rnacentral:rRNA from 1 species